rnacentral:lncRNA from 1 species
GGAGGGCUGUCCAGGUGUUGCUCUGUUUCUCUCUUUAAAUCAAACCAAAGCAAUAAAUUUAGUAUCAGAAGUGGGAGGUUUCUGCAUCAUUAAAGACUUUUCUUUUAUUGUCUCUAGCUGUGUGCUUCCAGGAACACACCAGCUGUUUGUGAGCCUCCUACUGCGGGAAGGACACAAGUUUGCGGCUCUGGCAAUUACUGAAGAGGCUUGAAAAGGGGGAAAAUGUAAGACAGAUUUAUCAGACACAGACACUUCCGUUGGACCUAUUCCUCAGAUGGCUUCACAGACCCUGGAUAACAAGGAAACUGUUAUGGAUAACAGCCAACUGUAAGACUGGACAAACACCCCCAUACCCAUUCUUCCA